rnacentral:lncRNA from 1 species
CUGAAUUGCCAGCAUCAUUACUUAGGAACAUUAUUAAGUAAAAUAAGGAUUACUUGAACACAAGCACUGUGAUGCUCAAUAGUUGAUCUGAUAACCAAGACGGUUAGUUACUAAGUGACUAAUGAGCAGGUAAUAUAGAUGGCGUGGAUGUGCUGUACAAAGAGAUGAUUCACGUCCCAGGCAGGACAGAGUGGGAUGGCGUGAGAUUUCGUCACAUUACUCAGAACAGCAUGCAAUUUAAAACAUGAAUUGCUUUCCAUUUAAAAAUAAAGGAAUUUGAUUAUGCGUUCUCUAAAGCUUCCAAAAGGAUCCAGUCCCAGAUACGUAUUACAUUUAGUCAUCAUGGCUCCUUCGUCUCCUCUGCACAAGGGGAAGCAGCCUGUGGCCCUCACCAGAUGCAGAUAUCCAAUCUUCCAGCAAACAGAAUCACGAGGAAACUGACAUCCAGUAAAAGAUCAACAUUAAACAUAAGCCUGGUAGCAGAACCAUAACAGAACCCUGCACUCAUGAUGCCUUCUGAGGACUCUGCCCAUCUUCCUUGAUUAACUCCAGAAUACAGAAGCAACCCUAAAAAUGCAAGCAAACAUCCUGAAGAAGUCAGGAAUGGAUUUUUCUAAGACUCUGUAUAGGCAUACCUCGAAGAUAUUGUGGGUUGGAUCCAGACUACUACAAUAAAGAGAGUAUAAUAAUAAGUUAAGUCACAUAAAUUUUUUAUUUACUUAUAUAUACACUAUAUUGUAGUCUAUUAAGUAUGCAAUAGCAUUAUGUCUUAAAAUUUGUGUAUAUCUUAAUUUAAAGAUAUUUUAUUGUGAAAAAUGCUAACAAUCAUCUUGAGCCUUCAGUGAGUUAUAAUCUUUUGGCUGAUGGAGCAUCUUACCUCAAUUGUGGUGACUGUUGGCAGAGUGGUGGUUGCUGAAGGAUGGGGUGGCUAUGGCAAUUUCUUAAAAUAAAACAAUGAACUUUGGUGUAUCUGUCAACACUUCCUUUCAGAAGAGUUUUCUGUAGCCUAUGAUGCUGUUUAACAGCAUUUUACUAUCAGUAGAACCUCCUUCAAAAUUGGAGUCAAUCUUCUCCAACCCUGUUGCUGCCUAAUCAACCAUGUUUAUGUAACAUUCUAAAUUCUUUGCUGUUAUUUCAACAAUGUUCACAGGGCCGGGCACGGUGGCUCACGCCUGUAAUCCCAGCACUUUGGGAGGCUUAGGUGGGCAGAUCACGAGGUCAGGAGAUCAAGACCAUCCUGGAUAACACGGUGAAACCCCGUCUCUACUAAAAAUACAAAAAAAUAGCCGGGCAUGCUGGCAGGUGCCUGUAGUCCCAGCUACUCAGGAGGCUGAGGCAGGAGAAUACUGUGAACCCAGGAGGCGGGGUUUGCAGUGAGCCAAGAUCGCACCACUGCACUCCAGCCUGGGUAACAGAGCGAGACUCUGUCUCAAAAAAAAAAAAAAAAAAAAAAACAAGGUUCACAGCAUCUUCACCAAGAACAGAUUCCCUCGCAAAAAAACACUUUCUGGCCAGUUGCAGUAGUUGCUGUAAUCCCAGCAAUUUGGGAGGCCAAAAUGAGAUGGUCACUUGAGCCCAGGAGUUUGAGACCAGCCUGGGCAACAUAGGGAAACACUCUCUCUCCAAAAAAAAAAAAAAAAAAAUCAAUUUGCUGGGAAUGAUGGUGCAUACCUAUAGUCCCAGCUACUCAGGAGGCUGAGGUGGGAGGAUUGCUUGAGCCCAGAAGGUCAAGCUACAGUGAGAUGUUAUUGUGCCACUGCACUCCAGUUUGGGCAACAUAGUGAGACCUUGUCUCAAAAAUUAAAAAAAAAAAAAAAAAAAAAAGGAAAAGAAAAAAGAAACCACUUUAUUUGUGCAUCCAUAAGAAGCAACUCCUCAUCACUCAUCCAUCCGAGUUCUAUCAUGAGAUUGCAGCAAUUCAGUCCCAUCUUCAGGCUUCACUUAUAAUUGUAGUUCUCUUGCUAUUUCUACCAUAUCUGCAGUUACUUCCUCCAUUGAAGUCUUCAACUCCCCAAAGUUAUCCAUAAGAGUGAUAAUCGACUUCUUUCAAACUCCUGUUAAUGUUCAUAUUUUGACUUCCUCUUAUGAAUCACAAAUGUUCUUAAUGGCAUUUAAAAUGGUGAAUCCUUUCCAGGAGGUUUUCAACUCACUUUGCCAAGACCUAUCAGAGGAAUUAAUAAAAUAUAAAAUAUAAAAAUAACAUCAAUGUCCUUGCACAUGUCCAUCAGAGCCCUUGGAUGACCAAUUCAUUAUCAAUGAGCAGUAAUAUUUUGGAAAUAAUCUUUUUUUCUGAACAUUAGGUCUCCACAGCGGGCUUAAAAUUUUUAGUAAACAGUCUGUAAAAAGACUUGCUGUCGCCCAAGCUGUGUUGUUCUAUUUAUAGAGAACAAGCAGAGUAGGUAUAGUAUAAUUCCUAAGGAACUUAGGAUUUCCAGAACGAUCAAUGAAUAUUGGCUUCAACUUGAAGUUGCCAGCUUCAUUGGCCCCUAACAAGAGAGUCAGCCUGCCCCUUAAAGCUUUGAAGUCAGGCAUUGACUUCUCCUCUCUAGCUAUGAAAGUCCUAGAUGGCAUCUUCUUCCAAUAGAAGGCUGUUUGUCUAUAUUGAAAGUCUGUUGUUUAACAUAGCCACCUUUGUCAAUUAUCUUAGCUUGAUCUCUGGAUAACUUGCUUCAGCUUCUCCAUCAGCACUCACUGCUUCACCUUGCACUUUUAUAUUAUGAAGAUGGCCUCUUUCCUUAAACCCCAUGAACCCACCUUUGCCAAUUUUAAAUUUUCUUCUGUAGCUUCCUCACUUCUCUCAGCCUUCAAAGAACUGCACAGAGGUAUGGCCUUGCUCUGGAUUAGGCUUUGGCUUUAGGGAAUGUUGUGACUUGUUUGAUCUUUUAUCCAGACCACUAAAACUUUCUCUGUAUCAGCAAUGAAACUAUUUCACUUUCUUAUCAUUUGUGUGUUCGCUGAAGUAGCACUUUUAAUUUUCUUUGAGAACUUUUCCUUUGCAUUCACAACGGUUUGGCUCAAGAGGCUUAGCUUUCAGCCUACCUUGGCUUUCCACAUGUCUUCCUCACUAAUUUCAAUCAUUUCUAACUUUUGACUGAAAGUGAGAGAUGUGCCACUCUUCAUUUCACUUUAACACUUAGAGGACAUUGUAGGGUUAUUAAUUGGUCUAAUUUCAAUAUUGUUGUGUCCCAGGGAAUAGGGAGGCCUGAAGAAAGGGAGAGAGAUGAGGGAAUGGCCAAUUGGUGGAGCAAUUAGAAUGCCCAUAUUUACUUACUGAGUUUCCUGUCUUAUAUGGGCACAAUUUGUGACACCCCAGGACAGUUAUAAUGGUAACAUCAGAGAUUGCUGAUUACAGAUCUGCAAAACAGAUAUAAUAACAAGAUUUGAAAUAUUGCAAGAAUUACCAAAAUGUAACAGAUUGAAGUAAAGUGAGCACCUGCUCUUGGAAAAAUGGUACCAAUAGACUUGCUUGAUGCAGUGUUGCCACAAACCUUCUAUUUUUUAAAAAUGCAAUAUUUGCACAAAGCACAAUAAAGUGAAGUGCAAUAAAAUGAAGUAUGCCUGUAAUUGUCAUAUGUGUUCCAAAGCCCUAUCUAAACCAUUCAUAGUGAUAACAAUCCAAAAUAUUUUUAGAAUCUCCAGAAAACUUGAUUCAUUCUCUACAUUUUAGAAUCACAAUUAUAUCUAGAAUGUAUCUUGAAUAUUAUCUGCAAUCUUUAUUUACAAUACUCUCUUGUUCAUUUAUUUAUUUAUCUGAUUUUUUUCAGUAAACAGAAUAUUCAAUCCUAAGAGUCAUGAAAACCUCAAGUUUGAGCUCUACUCUAGUUGGUUGUAUGACUUUAAAAGUAGUACUUUAUAUCUCAGUAAUUAAAUUUUAUACUCUAUAAAAUUAAGGGUUUAGUCCAAUGCAUUUUAAAGGUCCCUUCCAGUUUCAAUGUUUAAGAUUUAAUAAUUACAAUAAUUGUUUACAUUAAUGAGUGCCAGCCAUUCUACUUAGCACCUAACAUAAUUUACCUCAUUCAAUCUUCCUAAAGCUCUAUGAAAUAAGUGCUAUUAUUAUUGAUAUUUUACCAAUGAGAAGACUGAGGCACAGGGAAGUUACAUAACUUUCCUGAAACCAUUCAACAGAAAGCAUAAAGCUGGAUGGAAAUCCAAGUAUGACUUAUUCUACUCUGAACAACAUCUAAAUCAAAGGGCAGGUGAGUAGAGAUAAAAAGUUACCCCAAAUGUUAAAUUCAGUCACUUCAGAAAAUUUCAGAAUGCUUGGCAGCAACUCUAGCUAUGAAUUGCUAAAUCACAAAGCAACAGGAAAAAUAUUUCCUGUCUCCAGCUAUCCCUCCCUCCUAAGCUGUAUUCCAUCAGCACAUCAGCACGUCUCCCCACAGACUCUCCCCAACCACGUGCACCAGUUCUACCUAAAUAUACAGGCACAUGUGUGCUCACAUACACACACACACACACACAUACACUGCUGGAAGAAGGAUAUCUACCUACUAAGUCUAUCUUAAAACACAGAAUGAUAUUUUAUAUGGCAAUCUUUAUAUAAUAAGAUUAGUGUGUUUGAAAUUGGAUUUUUAUAAAGAUAACGGAGCUUUUUAUUUCAUUUACAUGGAAACACCUACAAAGACAGUCACACACAUACAAAGUCACUGGCCUCAAACUAUUUUACCCACUUUUUUAUUAACAGAAAAAUUUUCUCUUUAAAUUAGUUUUGCUUAAGAUAGCAAUGGAGAAGAAACAAAAAGACACUCAACCUGAUAACAACAAUUAAACAGGAUAUUGAGCUAAAAUUUGAAUGAUCCUUAUUUUGAUCCCUGGCUAAUCAAAUUUUGAAAGCAUUCUCCAUAGCCUGUAGGAGUGUUUCAACUACAACAUGUUCUAAUGUUCUUCAGCAUGUUAUUCCUUCAUAAAACUGAAAAAUAUAGGAAAAAGUGUGCAUCAGUUCUUAGUCACUAGUGUAAGCAUAAUGUAGCCAUUAGUUAGAGAGCAUAUUCUAGUUAGUUUGUGGUAGCAAUUCUUCAGUUAACCUAUUAACAUACUCCAAUUUUAUUUAAGUAGUUUCAAAUUUAAAGAAAAAUAAAGAAUAUUUGAUAUUUUAAUGAAAUGAUGUAUUUAGUUGUGCCCAUCUGUACAAAAAAAUACAAAAUAUUAGUCAGGCAUGGUAGCACACACCGAUAGUACUAGCUACUUAGGAGGCUGAGGCAGAAGGAUUGCUUGAGUCCAGGAGUUCAAGGCUACUGUGAGCUAUGAUAGUGCCACUGCAAUCCAACUGAGUAACAGAAUGAGUUGCUAUUUCAAAACAGAAAUUUUCUUUUGGUAGCUGUCUCCUUGGAAAAUACAUGAGUAAUUAAUAGAGAAUUAUAUACCUAAAUAAUAAUAGAAAAAUAUUGAAGAAAUACAUACAUAUAUAUUAUAUAUGCAAAUUAAAUAAAACAUAUGCAAAUAUUUUUAAAUUGAAUAUUUAUCAUAACUUUAGAGGAGAAUGCUAAGUUUAAACAUCAUGCAACAACUUCAGGAAAUAAAAGUGCAGGAAUUCUACUUUGAAAAACAGUGUGCUAGGUUGGACCAACCAUCCUACUGAGAACAACUAGAAAAACUGAAUAAAAUACAAAAACAUAUUCUCAAAAAAAUGAAGAAGUUUAAAAAUAGUGAAGAAUUACCUGCUUAAGAUCUUGGAAGACUAUGAAAUUCAGAGAGUUAAGCCUGUCAUUUUUGGGCUCAAAUAACACUGGUAGCUGAAAGACUGGCAUCUUUGACAGUCCUAUAAUGUUAGGAACCAAAGGUUGAGGUACAAUAGCAAAGGAUGUUGGUCCUUAUAAAACACCACCCUUUAGGUAGGAAUCCUGAAAGGACGUACCCUAAUGGUAAUAAUGAACCAAAAAUAAACAAGUAAAGAUGAACUACAGACCAGCUUUGCAUCACUCAGAUAGCUCAGCAAAUCUUGUUCCUCAAAAUUGAAUUCUAAAAAUCUUUAAUUUUCAUUGAACUGAAGCUAAAAAAGUCAGAUAAAAUGUUUCUCUCUGUAUGAAGAUAAUAUUAUCCUAGGCCUUUAAAUUUUUACAAAUUUUAAAAUACCUUGUUAAGUCUACCAUCAAAAAUAACUAGGUACGUGUAUAGAAAAGGCAACAUGAAUGAGAAAUAAUAAAAAUAACAGAUAAAAUAAAUAUACCUAGAGGGGUUUCAUGUAUUAGAAUUAUCUGUCACAGACUUUAAAAUGAGUGAUAUGGUUUGGCUCUGUGCCCCCCCAACCCAAAUCUCAUCUCAAAUUAUAAACCCUGUAAUCCCCACAUGUUGAGGGAGGGACCUAGUGGGAGGUGGUUGGAUCAUGGGGGUGGUUCCCUCAUGCUGUUCUCAUGAUAGUGAGAGGUUUCUCACGACAGCUGAUAGUUUUAGAAGUGUUUGACAGUUCCUUCUUCCUGAACUUGCUCUCUUGCCUGCCACCAUGUAAGACGUGCUUGCUUCCUCUUCUGCCAUGGCUGUAAGUUUUCUGAGGCCUCCCCAGGCAUAUGGAACUAUGAGUCAAUUAAACCUCUUUUCUUUAUAAAUUACCUAGUCUUGGGCAGUUCUUUACAGUAGUGUGAAAAUGGACUAAUACAAUAACUGUACUUAUAACAGCAUAAAACAAAUUGUAGCAAGAAUUAAUUAUUAAAACAUUGCAUAGUCAAUGUGAAAAAGAAUAAAAUGGAGGCCCUAUAAUCAAAAACUGUAAUGGAAAUUAAGAACUCAGUGCCUGGUUUCAGUAGUAGAUUAGACUUGGAUGAAGGCAAUAUUAGUGAACAGGAAGAGAGCUCAGAAGAAAAUAUUUAGAAAGGAGUAAAGAAUGGAAAAUAUAGGAAAGUGCCUGAGACAUAGAGGACAUAGUAAAAACAUGUUACAUAUAGUAACUGUUGUUUCCAAAGGAAAGCAAAAAAAAAAAAGAAUAGGUCAGAAAUUACAUUUGGAAUUACAGCUAGAUAGGAGAGAUGAAUUAUAGUGUUCUGCAG